UCGUGAGGCGACUUGUCUGCUUAACUGCGAUAACGAGCGAGACCUUAACCUACUAAAUAGCCCGGCUAGCUUUGGCUGGUCGCUGGCUUCUUAGAGGGACUGUUGGCUUAAGCCAAGGGAAGUUUGAGGCAAUAACA
rnacentral:rRNA from 1 species